CCACACUGUGGAAAAUACCUUUGCAGACGUGACACCCAAGUGCGCACGCCGACCGCUGCGUGGGCUUUUCCGCUGGGAACGCCUGGGGUGAACGCGUGUUUUAUAGGCGUUUCCAGGAGCAUGGAUGCCCCUCCAGACAGGGAGCUGGCGGGCGGGGGUGGCAGCAGCCGCUCUAGCAUUAGGGAGACCAGCGGUCCUCAGCCAUGCUGCGAGAAAAGUAAAGGCACUCACCCCCACCUGCGCGCGCAUGCACACACACACACACGCACACGCGCAUACACACACACAGACGCGCGCACACACACACAUGCAAGGCAGGGUCGGUGGGAGAGAGGAGGACCUUUCUCCUUCUUCUGCAGCCUGGGUCUCCCACCGGCCUUCUGCCCUGAGCAAGUCACCAGGUGCCAGGUAAAGGGCCACGCCUGGCCUGGCCCCCACUGGAUAGUGACCCACCUGGCCUUCCAGGGAUGCUAAGCGCAGCCCGUCCUUCCCGGACCAGCUCAGGCUCCCCUGCCCUCCUCUCUCCAGGAAGGAGCCAGACCACGCAUCCCACUGUCCCCAGGGUAACCCCAGGUCAAGCACAGACGGCUCAGCUGUGACCUCCGGCCUCUGGGGCAUAAACGGGGCGGCUGGGUCAGGGUGGAAGGUGCUCCUCUUUCCCCCUUUCUCCGUGGUCCCUUCCACGGGCCGGCCACCAUGUCGGGGGGCACAAUGCGGGGCCUCUAGCCACGCAACUGUAUCCAAGUUAACAGCCCCUGUCCUACCCUAGCUCCGGGACAGGCAGGAGAGGGCCAUCACAGCCCCGCUCGUGGGUGAGUGACCCGGGAGGGGCUUCCAGGCCGAGGAGAGCCACCACGCCCUUUCUCCGGGGGCCACUUAAAACAUCCACGCACGACCUGAGGCUGGCCCUCCGCACAGAAGCCAUACGCCGGCCAACUGCGCCGCCUUCUCUGUCCGCGGACACCGCUGCCGAUCUGACCUUUGUAAAGACCUGUCUGUGUCCCCGCCGCCUGUGGUUCCAGCAGGCUCUAUGCUGUCUGCACUGGGAUGUCUGGCUGUUUUUAUUUCUGAACUUUUUUAAAAUUCCAGGCGUGCCACACCCACUUUCUCACAGUGUUUGAAUAUUGUGUGGAGCUGUUGACACAACGUGAAUUCAUACACAAUAAAAAGCCUCACUUGCCCUUUG